UACAGAGGGUGCAAGCGUUGUCCGGAAUUAUUGGGCGUAAAGAGCUCGUAGGCGGUCUGUCGCGUCGGCUGUGAAAUCCCGAGGCUCAACCUCGGGUCUGCAGUCGAUACGGGCAAACUUGAGUGUUGCAGGGGAGACUGGAAUUCCUGGUGUAGCGGUGAAAUGCGCAGAUAUCAGGAGGAACACCGGUGGCGAAGGCGGUUCUCUGGGCAUUACCUGACGCUGAGGAGCGAAAGUGUGGGGAGCGAACAGG
rnacentral:rRNA from 1 species